rnacentral:rRNA from 1 species
GACGAACGCUGGCGGCGUGCUUAACACAUGCAAGUCGAACGGAAAGGCCCUGCUUUUGUUGGGUGCUCGAGUGGCGAACGGGUGAGUAACACGUGAGUAACCUGCCCUUGACUUUGGGAUAACUUCAGGAAACUGGGGCUAAUACCGGAUAGGAGCUCCUGCUGCAUGGUGGGGGUUGGAAAGUUUCGGCGGUUGGGGAUGGACUCGCGGCUUAUCAGCUUGUUGGUGGGGUAGUGGCUUACCAAGGCUUUGACGGGUAGCCGGCCUGAGAGGGUGACCGGCCACAUUGGGACUGAGAUACGGCCCAGACUCAUACGGGAGGCAGCAGUGGGGAAUAUUGCACAAUGGGCGGAAGCCUGAUGCAGCAACGCCGCGUGCGGGAUGACGGCCUUCGGGUUGGAAACCGCUUUCGCCUGUGACGAAGCGUGAGUGACGGUAAUGGGUAAAGAAGCACCGGCUAACUACGUG